rnacentral:rRNA from 1 species
CGCGGCCUAUCAGCUUGUUGGUGAGGUAACGGCUCACCAAGGCUUCGAUGGGUAGCCGGCCUGAGAGGGCGAUCGGCCACACUGGAACUGAGACACGGUCCAGACUCCUACGGGAGGCAGCAGUGAGGAAUUUUGCGCAAUGGGGGAAACCCUGACGCAGCGACGCCGCGUGGAGGACGAAGGCCUUCGGGUCGUAAACUCCUGUCAAGAGGGACGAAAGCCGUGGGGAUGAAUAAGCCUUACGGUUGACGGUACCUCUGGAGGAAGCCCCGGCUAACUCCGUGCCAGCAGCCGCGGUAAUACGGAGGGGGCCAGCGUUGUUCGGAAUUACUGGGCGUAAGGGCGCGUAGCGGCCGGGCAAGUCGGAGGUGAAAUCCCUCGGCUCAACCGAGGAAUUGCCCCCGAUACUGCCUGGCUUGAGUCCCGGAGAGGGUAGCGGAAUUCCUAGUGUAGCGGUGAAAUGCGUAGAUAUUAGGAGGAACACCAGUGGCGAAGGCGGCUACCUGGACGGGUACUGACGCUGAGGCGCGAAAGCGUGGGGAGCAAACAGGAUUAGAUACCCUGGUAGUCCACGCUGUAAACGUUGGGCACUUGGUGUUGCGGGUAUCGACCCCUGCAGUGCCGAAGCUAACGCAUUAAGUGCCCCGCCUGGGGAGUACGG